GAACGGUAGCACAGAGAGCUUGCUCUUGGGUGACGAGUGGCGGACGGGUGAGUAAUGUCUGGGAAACUGCCCGAUGGAGGGGGAUAACUACUGGAAACGGUAGCUAAUACCGCAUAACGUCUUCGGACCAAAGUGGGGGACCUUCGGGCCUCACACCAUCGGAUGUGCCCAGAUGGGAUUAGCUAGUAGGUGGGGUAAUGGCUCACCUAGGCGACGAUCCCUAGCUGGUCUGAGAGGAUGACCAGCCACACUGGAACUGAGACACGGUCCAGACUCCUACGGGAGGCAGCAGUGGGGAAUAUUGCACAAUGGGCGCAAGCCUGAUGCAGCCAUGCCGCGUGUAUGAAGAAGGCCUUCGGGUUGUAAAGUACUUUCAGUGGGGAGGAAGGCGAUGGAGUUAAUAGCUUCGUCGAUUGACGUUACCCGCAGAAGAAGCACCGGCUAACUCCGUG
rnacentral:rRNA from 1 species